rnacentral:sRNA from 1 species
GCUGUCUGCGAUUCGGGCGGGGUUCGAACCUGCCGCAGGUUCGGGUCGAACGCAGUGAGACAACGUUGCCACGGCAACGGCCCGAAGGGCGAGGCGAAGCCGAGUCAUCCUGCACGACCCACCA